ACACGGAAUACGGAAAUGAACACGGAUAAACACGGGUGAAAACACGAAUAUUCUCUAGAAUAUUCUACUUAUCACUCCAUCUCAUCUAGAAGCUCCUCAUUAGCAGGAUCAUCAUCUUCGUCUUCAUCCUCUUCUUCCAUAGCUUCAAUAUCAGCAUCAGUAAUUUGAGGAAUACUUCCUGUCUGGCUCAAUCCCACAAACUUGUCAUAGGAAGUGUGGCUCCCUAUCAACUUGGUAUUACUGGCCACAAAUACGAAGUCUGCAAUCCGGCUCACUGCUAAGCAAUUCCUCUUCUUUGAAGUGAUGUGCCCAAAAAUGCUGAACAAU
rnacentral:lncRNA from 1 species